AGCAGAUCUAUCUGCAGUUUCCAGGCAAUAUCUUCUUUUUAUUUUUUUAUUUUUUAUUUUUUUACAGGAAGUACAUGUUGUACUUUAUCUCAAAUAUUGCAAACAACCUACGAAUGUGACCAGUCCCUGAGACAGGAGUGCAAACCCAGCUUGCUCUCUGCAUGUGCUCUGUUUGGAUGCUGUAGCUGCGAGUGCUCUCUGGAGGACACCAGCUUGGAACAAGGCUGUUUGGAUCUGGGAGGAUCCACCAUCCUCAGGUGGGCUGCUGGCCAUCUUAGCAGAGCAUUGCAUGGUAUGGCCAUCUCUUCUGGCCAACUGAUGCAUGAGUCCUACAGAUGUAGAUGUUACCAUUUGAUGCCCACUCACAUGGUUUUCCUAUGUUACAGGGUUUCUCAGCUCUGCCAACUCAUAGCGUGGCUCUGCCUGGGAGUUCAGGCAAGGAAAUAGGGGCAGAAGAAGCUGGGGGAGGGCAGAACACCUCUCUGAGCCUGUCUGCUUUCACACCUCUCCUCUCACACACUUCUAUUUUUCAAAAAUCUUCCUCCUGAAGUAAGAGUUGUUAGUCACGAUACAAAUCACAAAAAUAGUGGCAGCCCUGCUUAGUGCCACUCCAUCCAGUGGACUAUUGCCCAACUUAGAGAACAAGAGAGAUGAAUUUGUUCUAUCCCUAUUUUUUGCACAGAGGCAGUGGGGCUAAACUCCCAAGUACAAAUUGUAUCUCUUCUCCAGCCUGAGAUGAACAGAAACAUGGGUGCUGCUGUAAAACAAUAUGAGUUGACUCACAUUUUGGAGAAAAAGCACUGCUCUUCACUGCAUCUGCAUUUAACUGCGCUGCAGGGCGAGAUGGCUCUGCUCUUGCCUCUCUAUGGAGACUGUGGGAGCUCCUGAGAAAUGCACUGCAGCUCUGUGGGUCCAGCCUCGGGUUAAGUGUUCUAAAACAGGGGAGGCACAAAGCAAAUGCUCCCCUCAAUUCCAUGUGCCAACAGGAGCCAUUAAUUCAGCAGCGGGAGGAAAACUGCGCUUGGGCACUGCUCCCACUUCUGCUCACAGAAGAGAUUAGCAGGGGAGUUAAUUAAUGGGCAUGGCACUUUUCUUUCCUUAUUUAUUUCUCUUUUUAUUUUUAUUGUUUUUAAGCUCAGCACGAGCCAGCUGGGCAUUGCCCUAUGUGGCAUUCAAGCUGCACAUCCCUCCUUGGGCACACAGAGAGCUGUGCUGAGCCCUGGUUAGCCAUGGCUAGCGCAGGUUUGGACACACAUCACACUGUGAUGUUUUCCUUCCUGAAAUGGAUGUGGCCAGUAAUAUUGGUGUAAGACAAGAGGCAUUAGGAAGGAGGAGGAAAAGGUCACUCUUUCAGCGUUGUGCAGCCUAUGAUACUUUUCUUUGAUCUCCAUGCUUUAAAAGACAAUAAUGCAAAAUCGUUACUAGUAACGUCCCUUGAAAAUGCAGCGGGCUAACAAGGCUUGCAAGUUUGUCAGCUGAAGCUUGUAAUGUCCUUGAGUUUUGUGCCAGAUAACAUGUUGCUAUGCCACACACUGCCAAGGAAUCCAAGUACUCCGGGUGAAGGGACACUAAGGAUGCCACACAGAAGGCUCUGCAUGCUUGCUGUGUUUUUCCAUAGCAACAAAUACGCUUGAUUACAGCACAUUCAUAUGCUCUAUAUAAUGAGUAUCCCGUAGGAAAUUUAUGACUGUGCAUGCUGCAUCAUAAUUAGAAAUCAGACGUGGGCAAAUGAAACAAAUUCCCCAGCGUGGGAUGUUGGGCAGCUCUGCUCUGUGCCCACAGAGGGUCUGCCCUCUGUUGUUGAACUUUACAGCUGAUCCUGAAAUGCUGGCGCUGGCUUUCUUGGCACUGUUUGUGUGUGUGUACAAGCAGGGAGAGGUGGUUCAGAGAUUUUUCUAUCUUAUUUCUCUUUUUUUUUCUUAAGCAGAGAUACCUUUUUUUAGGCUAAUUUCUCUUCUGCUCCCCUCUGGUGGGCAGAAAUCGAAACCAGCAGCAUACAGACUUCAGUUUCAUAGGCAAGGCACACUCUCCUUAAGGGUUUCUGCUGUGGACUGUCCAAUUGUUACUGAUGUAUUACUUAUGAUAUCCUUAACUACUUCUGACAAAUUUACCGACACUCUAAUGAAAAACUAAAAUACACAGGCAUACUUUCAGCCAGGCAAAUUUAAUAAAGGAUUUUAUUCACCUGACAAAUCUAAUCACUUUUCACUAAAUAAGGCAACAUUCAGCCUCAAGGCUAGGAGUUCACUGUGUGUGCAGUAUAUCUAUCUUUCCAGGUUCAAAAGACUUAUGCUUUGUGGCUGGUGUCCAGUUCAAAAUGAGAUGAUACCAACAGGUCAGAAGCUGUUUCCUAGCACAGCAGUUGUGUUGCAUAUUCAUAUGGUUCCAUCAGUGAUGAUAGCUAUUAAGGCAUCUACUUAUAUUUGCCAUUAGCACCACAUUAGGUUUCUUUCUUGCAUGACAAGAUCUGUUCAAAGUCACAUUAUCUUUCUUCUCCAUCAACCUGUGUCACAUCAACUUAAGGACAAGCGCUGCCCUUGACCACAGCCUGUCCUGAGCCCAUGGGUUGCUGCUAUGUCUCUGAGGGCAGAAUUUAGUCACAAGAGGUAUGUAGAACAUCAAUGGAGAGACCCAAAUGCAUGCUCCGUCCGUGCCCCACACGUGUACACUGGUUAAUAUUUAUUUUGCCUUUCUAGUCAAAUCAGCUGGCUCAGUGCCGAGAGAUAACUUUGUGAGGCCUUGCUGAGCUCACGGCCAGAGGAGCACUGGGAGUUGUGUGGGGGAGAGACUUUCCAUGUUGAGGUUUAUCACGUCGCAUCACCUGCUGCUACAGGGCCACAGGAAGGUGGGGGGGAGGUGAACAAGGUGCUCAGAUGCAGGUGAUCUGUUAGAUACCCUACAGCAUCUGAGAAAACUGUGGAGUUGUCAUCUAAGAAGCAGGAGAUCUAUGUUCUCUUGCAGCAGGUGUGUUUAGAUGUCAAAAUGGCAAUAGAUGCUUUUUGGGUAUUUGAAGUGUUUACCUGUAUAUAGAUGUAACUAUAUUUAUUCAACAAAUGGGCUAAUUCAAUUUUGAAACUGUACAGCAUGGUAAUAAUUAUUUCAGUGGAAUUAUUUGGAAUGGACAGACAAGAUUUCACAAAGCUUCAAGUUCUUCCUUACUGUACUAAGAACCAACAACAAGCAAACCUCCCGCUGCCAGGCAGAGCUGUGUUCUCCCUGUGUGACGGCUCUAAGUGAUGCUGUUGGAGCACCAUGGAAGCGUAAUGUUUCAGACCAUUGCUACUGAAUAAUGCACUGUGUGCAAGUGUGAAGCAAUUGCUCAGACCUGCUUCAUCUCGAGUUUUUUCACUCAGCCGCAAACCACGUUUGGAUGUGGGGCAUGCAAAGGGCAGCCUGAACCUAACCUUUGGAAUGGCAGAAAGAUUGCUGUGGCUGCCUUAUUAUUUCAUGGGUGCUUGAACGCACACACAGCUCGCUCACAGGUUGCUGUCAGUAGCGAGCCUGGAGAAUUCAGGGCUGGAGAUCGAGGAGGAGCAUUUGGCCUUUGCAUGGCUCUGAGUGUAGUUAUCAUCUUGGAAGUGGCUGAUUCACGUGGCUGCACAAGGUAAAAGAAAGCAGUGCUGGGUUUCCGGGACUGUCAUCACAAAAUUAAUUAAUAGUAUGUUUUGCUUGCUGCCAGCUGAAUCUGUUAACUCCCCUUACAGGUAAACCAGCCUUUCACAGUAUGUACAACACCACAUUCCUGUAUUCUCCUCUUUGGAACAAAGGAAAACAAAGCAAGCCCUUUUACUCUUUUCCUUUCCAGGCACAAAUACCAACACUUCUUUCAGUUCUCUGGCAUUAAUGAAAUCAUUGGGUGAUGCUGUAUGAAUUGAAGCUGCUAAAACUCUCUGUUGCAAUUUUCAGAUUAAGUGCUGCUCAUCCAAUCCCUCGGGUGAAGCAGCUGACCAA
ensembl:lncRNA